AGUGAACGCUGGCGGUAGGCCUAACACAUGCAAGUCGAACGGCAGCACAGUAAGAGCUUGCUCUUACGGGUGGCGAGUGGCGGACGGGUGAGGAAUACAUCGGAAUCUACUUUUUCGUGGGGGACAACGUAGGGAAACUUACGCUAAUACCGCAUACGACCUACGGGUGAAAGCAGGGGAUAUUCGGACCUUGCGCGAUUGAAUGAGCCGAUGUCGGAUUAGCUAGUUGGCGGGGUAAAGGCCCACCAAGGCGACGAUCCGUAGCUGGUCUGAGAGGAUGAUCAGCCACACUGGAACUGAGACACGGUCCAGACUCCUACGGGAGGCAGCAGUGGGGAAUAUUGGACAAUGGGCGCAAGCCUGAUCCAGCCAUACCGCGUGGGUGAAGAAGGCCUUCGGGUUGUAAAGCCCUUUUGUUGGGAAAGAAAAGCAGCAGGUUAAUACCCCGCUGUUCUGACGGUACCCAAAGAAUAAGCACCGGCUAACUUCGUG
rnacentral:rRNA from 1 species